rnacentral:rRNA from 1 species
UGUGUAGGCGGUUCUUUAAGUUUGGUGUGAAAUCUCCCGGCUCAACCGGGAGGGUGCGCCGAAUACUGAGGGACUAGAGUGCGGGAGAGGAAAGUGGAAUUCCUGGUGUAGCGGUGAAAUACGUAGAUAUCAGGAGGAACACCGGUGGUGUAGACGGCUUUCUGGACCGUAACUGACGCUGAGACACGAAAGCGUGGGUAGCAAACA